CCAAUAUGGACCAUGACCGCUGGGUCAUCCCCAGCCCCUCCCAAUAAUCCAUCCACUCUGUCAGCAACAUGCCGGACUCGAGCACCCGGGAGACAGCAAACUGUCCGUUUGAGCCAAUCAGAGCGGCAGAUUGCCCUAUCUGCUCUCCUAAUGAUAGAGUCCCCUACCACCACAACCUGUCUUGCCUUCCUUAAAUUUUGAUCCCCACCCAUACUAG